UUUGAUCCUGGCUCAGGACGAACGCUGGCGGCGUGCCUAAUACAUGCAAGUCGAGCGGACGGAUUAAGAGCUUGCUCUUAUGAAGUUAGCGGCGGACGGGUGAGUAACACGUGGGCAACCUGCCUUACAGACUGGGAUAACUCCGGGAAACCGGAGCUAAUACCGGAUGACCAAUGGGACCGCAUGGUCCUAUUGUAAAAGUUGGGAUUUAUCCUAACACUGUGAGAUGGGCCCGCGGCGCAUUAGCUAGUUGGUGGGGUAAUGGCCUACCAAGGCAACGAUGCGUAGCCGACCUGAGAGGGUGAUCGGCCACACUGGAACUGAGACACGGUCCAGACUCCUACGGGAGGCAGCAGUAGGGAAUCAUCCGCAAUGGGCGAAAGCCUGACGGUGCAACGCCGCGUGAACGAUGACGGUCUUCGGAUUGUAAAGUUCUGUUGUUAGGGAAGAACAAGUGCCAUUCAAAUAGGUUGGCACCUUGACGGUACCUGACCAGAAAGCCCCGGCUAACUACGUGCCAGCAGCCGCGGUAAUACGUAGGGGGCAAGCGUUGUCCGGAAUUAUUGGGCGUAAAGCGCGCGCAGGCGGUCUCUUAAGUCUGAUGUGAAAGCCCACGGCUCAACCGUGGAGGGUCAUUGGAAACUGGGAGACUUGAGUGUAAGAGAGGAAAGUGGAAUUCCACGUGUAGCGGUGAAAUGCGUAGAUAUGUGGAGGAACACCAGUGGCGAAAGGCGACUUUCUGGCUUACAACUGACGCUGAGGCGCGAAAGCGUGGGGAGCAAACAGGAUUAGAUACCCUGGUAGUCCACGCUGUAAACGAUGAGUGCUAGGUGUUAGGGGUUUCGAUACCCUUAGUGCCGCAGUUACACAUUAGCACUCGCUGGGAGUACG
rnacentral:rRNA from 1 species